GAAGUACUCCCUCUGUUCGGAAUUACUUGUCACAGAAAUGGAUGUAUCUAAAUGUAUUUUAAUUCUAGAUACAUCCAUUUUCGCGACAAGUAAUUCCGAACGGAGGGAGUAGCAA
rnacentral:pre_miRNA from 1 species